rnacentral:lncRNA from 1 species
UCGUUCUGGAAACACAAGUGGCACCACCUGCGGAACGGGAGCCUACUCCACUGAAAAAGCCUGUGAAGCAGGCAAAGGAGGCUCCAGCUCCACCUGCAGAUAUUCCUCCAAAGGAUGAGAUUCACGUCAAAGCGCCUGCAAAAACUGCUAAGGCCAAACCAUCCCAUGAGGUUGGUGAUAUUCCAGAUGUCUAUGAUGAUGAGGCACCGAAGGAGAAGACAAAACCUAAAGUAGUAGAUGAAGCAAAGUUGAAAGAAAUGAAGAGACGGGAAGAGAUCGAAAAGAACAAGAUGGCACUGGAAAGGAAGAAGAAGCAGGCCGAGAAACAAGCAAUGAAAGCAGCAGCACGAGCAGAAAAAGAAGCUGAGAGGAAGCUUAAGGUAGAUACAUAUGCUUAUCUAUAACCUUUUUCAUGUCUCUGUAGUCUUAGCCUCGUCUUCGUUACAGUCACAUAUUGUCAAUCAUUCAUGCGAUUAACUGUUUCAGGAGAAGGAGAAGAAGGCCAAGAAGAAGAGUGCAGCAGCUGGAGGUGCCGAGUCAGAGGAGGCAGCUGAAUCUGAUGCCAAGUCUGAUGAAGCAGUGGAACCUGAGGUCAAGGGAGAAGAGCCAGAAGCUCCUGCAACAGUUAAAAAAGAACAAAAGAAGAAUGCCCCGCAUAGAAAUACGUUGACGAAAACAAAGGCCCCUCUUCCAAAGGCAGUCCUGAAGAGGAAGAAAUCCCAGUCAUACUCAUCAUGGAUUGCACCCGCAGGAGCAUUGGCAGCUGUGCUUGUGGUCCUGCUUGGAGUAGUGGUUUACUACCAGCACUACUACUACCUUCCAGCUAGCACCAGCAACUGAUGAAGAGAGUGCUCUGGCUGUGAUCUAAAAGUGCCUGCCUGAUCAAUUUUGCGUAUGACUAGAGGCAUGAUCUCUUUUGGAGGACUCAUAUGUGGUUCUUAUUGAAGUUUUUACUCGGUGAAUGCUAGAGAAGGAUUAUACAUUCAAUUUUGGCUGGAGAAUGGUUUUUCCUUUACUAUACUGUAUGUUGGGAUCAGUUGUAGAUGAAUGGACAGGUUGCCGUAUGAAAUGAAAUAAACAAAUAAUGAUUUUGUUGAUAGAUGUAUGCUCCGCCUGAUGAAUUUAGAGCUUGCUUUGAUUGGAUUCUUAGCCGCGGCAAAUUGCACAUGUCAAAAAUAUUACUUUUUUUUGUCUCGAUAUACAUGUAUAUACACAUCGAAAGAAUUUGUAAAAAUAUGUCUGCCACGGGAUGGAUUCGUUGCAUAGGCGUGGCACCAUCCAUGCCAUGUCCUAACCCUAUCCUCCGUAACACGGUACAGAAAUUUUACCAGCCUUAAAAAAUAUAUCCAUAUAGCAAAAUUUAUGCUAGAAACCAAUAUAUUACCUAAAGGUAGCAAAUUUUACAUAAGAAUGGUAUAAGAGACUAGAUUUUUUUUCCCUGAACAACUCCACUUUUAAGUCAUUGAUGUUGUCCAUGAGUUUAAGAUUCAUCCUUAACCUAGAAAAAAAGAUGUUAUGUAUCCCUAAAGUUGCACUACCUGGUUACCCUAGGUUCAAAGACAAUAUUAGUCUUGGUUUAGGCUAGUGUGGCAUGUUUAUUGGGGUUGCCGUGGCUGAGUCAACAUGGAGCGUUGAUUUGGAGCUUUUAGUCAACGGGCCCGUUUAGCAAAAAAAGGCACGUGCAGAGUUUGUCCUAGUUCAAUUCUCUCUUUCCAAAACCCUAGAUCAAGUUGACCCUGUUUAGAGGUGACGUGGCGGGUGAACUAGGGUGGAUUGGAGUUGGUGCAGCGGAGGGCGUGAUAGCGUAGAAGCUUGCCACACAAGUCAAAUUGAACACUAGAAUCUAUGCGCAAGUACCUCCCUUUCGCUAUUUGACACUUUGUGGAUGCGGUUAGUGGUGGGUUCCAUGAUUGGGUUCGAUCUAUUUUUUAUGUUUGUAGAUGUGAUUGCAACCUCACAUUUAGGGUGGAUAAGGAGUUGUUUAGUAAGGGUGGAUAAGGAGUUGUUUAGUAAGGUAGGUACUAGAACUAUACAAUCUGGGGGCUAUUUUAUUGAGUAGUAUAUGAGAAGCUUGUGGUUGGGAUUUGUAUUAAAGCAGUAUAAUAUAUUAUGCAGCUGAAUAAUUUUAUAUUAUGUAGGAUAAUUGAGAUUAUGGAUGUGGUGGACAUUUAGGUUCCAUUUGAAUGGGCAAUUUAUCAUAGAUGGAAAUAACAAAUUUUAUUUUGUUGGGGUGGAGGCAAUUCCAUAUAUUUCGAGAGAUAAGGUGUCACUACUUGAAAUUUUUGGAUAUUUGCAUAACUACUUGUUAACACCGGAUUUUAGCAAAUUACCGUUAUGGAUUGAAACAUGACUAAAGAACGAAUCGGACAAGAAGGAGAGAAUCGGCCAGAGACGGAAAGUUGGACGCGGCAUGGAUGCAGCCGAUGGAAUCCAAAUCGGACAGGAGUUAGAGUCCAAUUGGGCUUAAAAGCUUAGAGAUAGAUUCGGUGUUAGUUGUGAGUCCAUGUCAAAUAAUUAGGAGUUAGCUUAGAGUUUGUUUAGGAUUUCUAUAUUUAAUUAAAGUCCGAGUGUUACAAGUUAGUUAGUAACGGGGAUUCUUAUCCGAAUAGGUUAGUUAACACCCAGGGUAUAAAUUUGUGUGCCCGGGGUCCUUAUAAAUCAUCUUCAGAUCAAUCAAACUUGGCGCAUCGCCUCCAAAACCUUUGACUUUCUUGAGCUUUCGGUGCAGGGUUUGUCAGCUUUGCAAUAUAAGUUCAUGUUUGUCAAAACCCGUCGAUCAAUUAGAACAGGACUGUCUCGGUUAAGUUCGAUCUUCUACCUGGUUGAUCAGCGGGCUGAGUUCUAUUGUUGCUUUAAUCUAUUUUAGCUUGAAGUAGUAGUAGUUCUCGAUCAAAUCCUUGCGAGUUUUUCUGUUUAAUCUACUAGCAUGACUCUAGUCGACUUGAUUCUGUCUCGGUUCGGUCGAAUCAAUCUGGUUUGCUGGGUUUGUGUUAUCGGAUUAGAUCGAAUGCUCGUGAGGGUUUAUCGCUGGAGUUCUAGCCGGCAUUAUGUUAAGUAAUCUAUUGAUUUGCCUGUCAAAUCCACCGAUCUUCAUAGUUCUAUGGUCAUAUCGUACUAGAUUGCAUACUGUCUCGAUUAGGUCUGAUCUAUGUAUGUUUGGUGCGAUAUGCUUAUAGAGCUCUGUCCAAUCGGCUGGGGUUAACGAGUGAGUUGAUAGAUUACACCGACUUGCUAUCCUGUUACUCGCAUACUAUAAUGAUUAGUUGAUCUUAUGCAUGGUUAUAUUUAGAUCUGUACUGUCUCGAUUAGGUUCGAUCUUCUAGGUCUGGUAUGAGCAUGUAUGCUGUUGAUUAUUAUUGUUUUAUGGUAGUAACUGGUAUGGCAUUCCGGUUUAUAAUCAAUUCCACACUUAGUCUCCUAUCGGCUGUCAAUUUUACGCGCGAUAAGUACUGAAUUGGUACGAUCAGCUGAUUAAUCUUAAGACCGUCUCGAUUGGGUUCGAUCUUUUAAGAUUAAUUGGUUGGUUAGCCUGUUUGGCGUUUAUCCUGCCUCUGGUUCAGCCGAUUGAGCAUAUUUACACUCACCAUCGUGAAAUUUCUGUGAAGCCGAUCGUCUAGUUCAUCGGCAAGGGUCCUAGGACGGUAUCGACUAUCCGACCAAUAGCGGUUUAGGGGUUAACUGUUUUACCAUGUUAUAUCUUGUCAGUUACAGGAUCAAACUGGCUGGCACGUCCAACAUUUCUAAGAAUUAGGUCCUGCACUGGAGUGGUCUAAGAUUGAUUCCCAGGCCUACGUGCGUAACUGUUGAUUGUCAUUUUCAACGUCAACACAUUUUUGGCACGCCUAGUGGGACAGUCCUAAGAAGAACCCGAUCCAACCACGAGUCAGUCAAGCAUUCAUCGAGUCAAGACAGGAGCAAUGGCCAUGAAAGAAGUCAGCGUGGAGAACAUCCUCCCGUCACUUGGGAGAACCUCACCGAAGAGCAGCGGGCCUUGAUGCAGCUGCACAUGGACAAAUUCCAGAAGCUGUGCCUCGAGUCGUUUAGCAUGACUCGGGGUGGCCCGGUGCAGAAGUUUCGGCUCCCGACACCCAACUCGGAGCCAGGAAAAGGCAACGAUCCCCCUCUGGAGAAUCAGCCAAAUCUACAGGAUAUGGUAGAUUCGGCAGUCCAUCAUGCACUCAUCCAGUCAGGAAUGCUGGCAAACACCCUGUCAAGGCUGAUUCGGCAGGUAGCCGAUGGCGCUCCUGAUGGAGAGUCACACCAAAAGGGGUCAAAGUACUUCCCAGAUGGGGAGAGGUCCAAAUAUCGGCCGUAUAGAGAUGGGAGAGACCCCUAAGAGAUGAGGAGCCGAUACAACCGCAUCCUCGCAUUCAACCCGAGGAGCCUCCAGAGAGGCCCAGGCAGCCUUAUCAGGAGAGGACUCCACCCAUGUAUGCUUGGUACGCCAACCCAUACCACAGGGAGAACCAGCAGAACCAGCCACCUCUAGCGUGGAGCCGAUGUGUGAAAACCAGUUUCGUCAGCCGGACCCAGCGCCCAGGGGGCAAUUCAGGGAUGAGGACUGGACAGACCGCAUAGCAAAAGUUAUGUAGGAGCGUUUCGGCCUACGGCCGAAAGAGCAAACUACAAUGUAUCGGUGCCCAUACCUAAAGUGGUUUGAAAGGGUGUCGUUACCUCACCGGUACUGGGUAACAGAUUUCUCCAAGUUCUCCGGGCAGGAUGGCACGUCAACCAUUGAACACGUCAGCCGAUUCCUAGCCUAGUGUGGCGAAGCAUCGACUGAGGACGUGCUUAAAGUACGGUUCUUCCUGUUAUCACUUUCCGAGUCGACUUUCACCUGGUUCUCAUCCCGGCCUCCCAAUUCAGUGAGAAACUGGGCCGACCUCAAGAAAUAAUUCCACAAGUACUUCUUCGCGGGAGUACAGGAGAUGACCUUGACCGAUCUCACCACCGUGAGGCAAAGGGUGGAUGAAUCGGUCCACGAUUACAUGCAGCGGUUCGAAACGUAAGGAGCCGUUGCUACCGUUUGAAUCUGAGCGACCAAUAGCUGGCCGAGUUGGCAUUCCAAGGCUUGCUUGGCCAAAUCAGAGAAAAGUUCUUGGUCCAAGAGUUCGUGAGCUUGGCACACCUUGUGCAGAAGGUAUCGGCCCAUGAAGUCGGAUACCAAGAAGCCAUGAAAGACAAAUUCCAACGCUGAGUCGCAUACCUGGCUGAAGAAUCAUCGGACUCCGAGCUCGACGAGUCAGACAUAGGUCUGGCGGAAUGGACCAGGAACAAGGAGCCAGUCAAUUGUCCCUGGGUAAAAGGAGCAAAAGAGAUAGAGAGAUUUGACUUCGAUGUCAACAAAGCCGAUAAGCAUUUCAAGCCGAUAAGCAAAAGAUACUGAGAUAGAGAAGCAUUUCAAGGAGGUGAAGAAAGUUAAUGCAAGAUUAUUGGAAAUUUUGGAUAAUGUCUUUUACUAGGGCAAAGGUCAGAGGCAACCAUACAAGCAGAUGAUGAAGAAGAUGAGAACAAUAACUCAUUUGUUGAAAGUGAUGAUGAUGAGUUAGUAGAAGAGAUGGAAGUUGAUGCCUAAGGUACAAAGAAUGGCAAAUGCAAUAGCCAACUAUCCAAGGUACAAGAAUAAGACAAGUGGUACAUUUGAACUUGGGAUAAAGUUUAAUAGCAAGAAACAGUUUAAGAAAACUGCCACAACAUAUGCUCUUGUUGGAAGAGGGUGAUUAACUUUAUCAAAGAUGAUCAGAAGAGGGUUAGGGCUAAAUGUGGCUGGGUUAUUGUCCUCGGGUUUGCCAAGGUGUGAAAGUUGGCAGUUUGUCACUCUAGAGAGUGUGCAUGUUUGUCCACCUAGAAGAGAUAACAAGAUAAUUAUUUUCUACUAAGGUUGCUAAGAAGUAUGGCAAGUUUAUUGCUGCUAACCCUUCCUAAAACAUGAUCCACAUGAAGAUCAUUGUAGAAAUUGUUGAAGAUUCUAUAUCCAAGCUAAAGAGGCUAAAAUUAAUUAUCGUGGAGAGAACAAUGUGUGCCACCAAGGAGCAAGACCAAAAGUUGUACAACUACAAAUAAGAGCAUGGAUAGAUAACAAUUGAUAAAAUUCUACACCAACCCUAGAUGAGUAUCCUAGUGAGAGUGAUGCCAAUGUUAGGUUUACCUUACCACGGAGAGCUCCAAUGCCGAUGCUCGGUGGACCGCGAUUAUCGUGGUUUUGGGCAGUUUCUCGCCGCGAUAAUUGUGAAGAGAAACUAUUGAUUUUGUGAACGCUAGCCCUUGUACCUUUCUUCUUUAGCUGACCAAGUGAAUCUUUGACUUGUGAAGGACGAUAUGUGCUUCUAGUUUUUCUAACUAGGAAGAUGUACAUAUUGACGACACACAUUGGGGACAAAUGAUAGUGAUGAUAGAGACAAUAGAGAGGUAGAGGUGGUCGUGACAACACCAACUUCUAGAGGUCCCACUACAUAGUCACAAAGGCAAGUCCCUAGUGUGCAAUUCACACGUAAGGUUGUAGUUCAACUUACAUUUUUACUCCAAGACAUGAAAAUGCUUUCCACUUACACAAUUUUAUAUCUCAAAUUUAGGUGAGGCUGACAUCACUCAUGCCACUUAGGACCAAGACCAUGGUGCUCUAGGCUCACUAUGUGUUACUUGGACAAUGCAAGGACGUGAAUAUUCAUGGGGUCCUUUCAUUUCAAAGGUGAGCAACAACUCGGUUAGUUCAAGUAGCAUCAAUGAAAGUGCUUGGACAAGAUACGCAUAUAACUGUCCUGAUUUUUCUAAUUGUUCUACUAUCACAUAGGUGUAUGAGUGGUAAGAGCCGAAGGGGUUUGUUUAGUUGUACACCCAAUGAUAAUCAACUAUUUGCUGGACGAACCAAAGUUGGUUGGAUUAUAAGGCAUGAUUGCUUCGAGCGAAGGUUUGAUACUCAUGUCUAUAGAGGAGUACAAAAUGGCAUAACAACAAUUGCAUAUGUACAAUCCAUACCAAUAUGACCCUCCAUAUAUAUCUCUAUUUUGGUCGUGUUGUUAUGGACAAUAUUUGGUAUUGUAUAAUAGAUAUAGAUACUAUCAUAUUUCUACUAUUUCAUAUUGUAUUAUGAAUUGUAUCAUGGACACUAUAAUAUUUGUACAAUGUAUAUUAUCAUAUUUCUGCUAGCUAAUAACAUAUUAUGGUGUAGGCAUGAAUUUUAACUUCCAAUUGUGUUCUAUAUUAAUUGCACAAUUAUUUAUUGUCAUAAAUAAUAUUUGAAUGUCCAUAUUUUAGUAGAGGCCUUGCUGAACUUUUCUGUUUAGCGAAUACUAUGUCCUAAAUGGUCCAAAUAUGUGAUAUUAGUUAUUUCUUAGUUUUUCAUAAUUUUUUAUAAAAAUUAUGACUUUAUUCCAUUUUUAUUCCCCUUAGAAUGAGUUACUCACGUUUUUUAAGGAACCAUGCGAUAAUAAAUCCAAACUACGAAAAUUGCGCGAUAAUCAUCCUACCGCAAGUCCCUGAUUUCGAUAACAUGCAUGGUAAAAGAAACCCUACCUAGAAUAACCAAGUAUUGCAACCUUAUGGAUGCACAAUACUCCCUCCAAUCAAAUAUAUUUAUCGUCAACAAAAGUUCUAAAAUUUCAAGACGAAAUAUUAUGUUAUAAUGAAUUUAUAAAAUCUAAUAAGUUUAUGAUGCUAUGAUAAUAUUUUUGAGGAGAAUCUAUGUGUAUCAUUUUUUAUUUAAACUAUGUAUUUAAUAAAUUAUUAAUGCUCAAAAUUUUGAAACCGAAUCUCAUCCUAAACGACAAUUUUUUUUUACUAGAGGGAGUAUAUGUUUUUUGGGUUCAAGGAUAAUUUUUAUACUCGGUGACGACACGAGAGAUCUAAGACCAUCCCCAGCAGUACAUCCAUCCCAUCCUCUAUCAUAAAAAUAGAGGUUAAAUGAUAAAAAUUAAGCUCCAGCAGAACAUCCAUUCUAUUAUCUAUUUUUAGAUGUCAUCCAUUUUAGGAGAGAGGAACUUCAUAUUUGAAUUCUCUCUCUCCAUCAUGUCAUAUAUAGGUGAUCUGCUAGAGUACAAAGAGAUAUGAACGAUAAAAUUGUUUUAGAUGAUUAUCCAAAUGAAGAUAUAGAUGACCAAAUUUAGAUGAGUGGCUAGGAUUCUCUAAUUCUUUUCCACCGUGUUUCCUUCACUGGGCUGCAGAAAGCCCAUAGAAGCAACAGCCGAGGCCCAAAGUGUAAUCAGUUGGGCUGGCCUUUGACUUUGCUGCACCCAAGUCUACAGCUCCUCCCUCGGCUUCAACUAGUACUACUACUACUCCCCCCUCGUGACCCCCUCCGUUUCUCUCUCUCUGUCGCUCGGUGACCGCGACCACCGUCGCCGCCGCAUCCUUCUCCCCGCCGGUGAGCUCCCCCCCCUGUACCUGCGCACAUCCUCCUCCUCCUCCUCUACUACUCCCACACCUUCUCUCUCUCUCUCUCUCCGGUCUUAGACCGUAGCUUCUCUUCUGGAUCUGGAAGCUUUUUUCGUUUCCUGGUACUGGUGUGGCGGCUGCAGUUCGUUUCCGCGAGCUGCACCCCCGCGCGCGCCGAGUUGGGAGCAUGUAGUGAUGCAUGAGGGAAUGGGUGGGUUGCGCGUGCCGCCUAGCCGAUCUCGUGCUGUGCUGCCACCGCUGGAUCGCGGCGCUGUGUUUUCCUGAUGAGGGAAUACCGCCAUCUGCAUCCCGUUUUUGUGUUGCUGUUUGUUUUUGUUUUUGCUCCAUGUGAGCCGGGGAUCUGGGAGCGGAAUUCCAUUUUUAGUUUGGGUACGCUGGAUAAAUCUUGUGGAGGUGGGAGAUUUAGAGGGGAUAUGAUUUGGGAUUGCAAAUGGUAGGUUUGCCAGUUGGGUUGUUUGGUUAGCUUUGACUUGGUGUUGAGCAUUGGUUAGUACUGGUUUCAGGUUCAGAAUUACAAGCAUCUGGUAGGUGGAAUGAAUCCGUGGAAGAAUCUAUGGUUUUGGAUCGCCAAGUCUGUAGAGUUAACUAUGCUAUUUCUGUAAAAAUCUAGAAUCUGUCACACCAAUUUAGGUAAUCCCGGGAUAUGACACUUGAUGGCCACUGAUUUAGGCCCACGUAUCAGUGAAGCAUCAAGUGGAGGAAUCCUGAAUUGCUAAGCUUUGGAGUGUUAUUCCUACAGUUAACCUAUUAUCUCUUAAUCAAUAAUGCUGCACUCUGUGAAGAACAUACUUCAUCCACAACAUCUGUGAAUUGGCAAACACUUUUGAAAUGCACAUCCACAAGAUGUAUAUGACCAGACGAUCCUGUAAAGAAAAAAAAAAGAAGUCAGAGAUAAUUUGUUCCCACCAAGGAUGAGGAUAACACAUCGGCCUGCGUGUAAAGGAGCUGUAUGGCGCCUCCUCAUGACACACAUGGCACACCACGCCACCCACCUGUCACUCUACGAUCUGCACAGCACAUCCUUCCCCCCUCUCACCUUGGUAAAGGAAAUUGGUGGAAGAAUUAAAGCAGCAGCAGUCAUGAGGUGAUAUCAAUAAAUGAAAAGCGAGAAAAAAUAUAUAAUGGGUUAAACUACCUUCUAUAAAUACAGAUCUGUCUGUCCCGUUUCGCUCAAAUCAGAGUUCAUCCAUAUCAUUGUUGUGAUUGUUUUGUUAGUUGUCGCCAGUACUAGAUUACACUGUGGGGAUUUGUUUUCUCAGGUUAUGUGUCCUUUUCUUGCUAUGCCCUGAUUUUUUUCUAUUUGGUUGGCAUUGUAACUGCGUUUUGGGUUUAUAUGUUCAACACUAAUUGGGUGAUGCUAAGUGUGGUAUCAACAUAUGGAUCCUGAAUCACAUAUCUGAAUAUAUUAUUUGUGUGGUAGAAAGUAUCCUUGGUCAGUUUUUAGGCGUAGGUCACUGUUUAUGUGCAAAACGUUCCCCACAAAGAUCCCAGGUUGAUCGGGUUGAAGUGUGCUCCUUGCCAAAAGGUUUUUACAAGUUGGGGAUAAAAAUGUCCUUGUGUUCCUGGGCAGGAACGCUUCCUACGACCAGUUUCCCGUGCUCCUCAAUCAUGACUGUUAUGCCCCCUUAGCAGUUAGUAGUCUUUGGUUGAUGCUCCUUUGACUGAGCAUUUGGUUGGGAAUUAGGAGUGUGCUUCUGGUGGGUUAAAUGAAUUGCAACUAAAUCCUAGCUUUUCUGGACACCAUUUCCAAUAUGGUGAGAAGUUUGUUAUGGCAUUAUUUCUUUUGUUUGCAUCCUUUAAGGGGCCAAUAAGUGUUCUGCAUCUUCCACUGCAUUUUCGCAUUGUAUGUUUGGAUUAUUGGUUAGUGAUAGUCUCCCUGGCGUGAUGUAGAACUAGACAGCAGUAGUUUGUCACUUUUAGUAAGGACUAGCAUGGCCUGGAAGAUGCAUUUUUUGCGGGUAGCUAACACACGCCAUUUUCCUUUGCACCUGUUGUUCUUGUGUGGUGGCAAUCCAAACAUGACCAGAAGGUAAAGUUGGUUAGGGGGAUGACUGCUAAAAACAAAUAUGGAUGAAGGAACAGAUGACAACAGCUUGGUCCUAAACCUCUGAUCAGUAGAUAAUUAAAGUUCUUGAAUGACGUGUACCUGCAUGUUUCUGUACCAACCUAACCACAGAUAUUCCUUGAACUGCAUACGUGAAGCAUCCUGCAAACUCAUGUACCAUGCUGCGAUAUGAUGUAUAUGAACUACACACUGAACCAAUAUUGCUCUGCCUACCUUCUCCAACAUAAGAUUAGGCUGAACUAUCACGUGGUACUCUUGCCCAGUUGUGUGUUGGUUAAUUUGGAUGGGCACAUAGAAAAUUCACUGAACCAGAAAUUUUAAUGCAAGUAAAAGCAUGCAUCAUAGCCUUUUUUUUAUUCUCAGAUGGGCUCAGUAAUGACUUGUGCCCUUUAUGGUUACCUUAUUGUAGUUAACUAGGUAUUAGGUACUCUCAGCAUUUAUACCCCUAGGGCAUCGGAACUUAUGCACUUAAUUCUGUCAACUGUUUGAAGUGAAAAAGUGGGUAAGCACAUGCAACUGUGUUGUCUAUUGACUGCGCUCUUGUAGUUAUUUUUCAGGGUGAAGAAAUGGAGGCCACUGGUGCUGAAGCUACGUUGUCCCAGGUUAAAGCUGUUGAUGGAGAAGAUAACAUUUUCCAAGAUAAGGAAAGUAGAGCUACUGCCAAGGAGCGUGGGGAGGCAGCCUUGUUUGGUUUGGAAAACACUGCUCCAAAUGGAGCCAUAAAUCCUGCUGAUCUUGCACCCCCAAAAGAUGCUGUGGAUGAGUGGCCUGAACCUAAGCAAACUCAUUCAUUUUUCUUUGUUAAAGUUCGUCCAUAUGAGGAUCCUAACCUGAAGAUGAAACUUGAUCAAGCUGACAAGGAGUGCCAGAAAAAGAUACAAGCUCGAUCCCAUAUUUUUGAGGCCUUGAGGACCAAGAGGGUAUGCUCUCCGAGUCCUGAUCUCACAGAACAAAAACAAUAACCUUUUUCACAUUCUUAAUUCCAACCAGAUGGGUAAUGUGCUAGGCAAUUGAAUAUCUUGUUUUAAACUUGUUGAUUUAUUGCACAGUGUUGUAUUGCUUCUCAUUAGCUAACCUCAUUCUUUUUCUCUCCAGAAUGAGCGAUCCAAUAUUAUAUCCGAACUGAAGCCGUUGACUGCAGAGAAUAAACAAUAUAAUGUAGUUGUGAGUGGAAAAUUGAAGGAAAUAGAACCUCUUCAAAAGAGUUUAGGCAAGUUUCGUAGUGAAAACAAUGCAAUGCGUGCACAAGGGGCAGGUUUGUGCUCAUCAAUUGAGGAGCUUGAUCAGUUGGUAAGAUUAAAAUUUGGCAUGCCUCAUUGUACAACUGUUGCAUUAUUUGAUGUGUAUGCCUGACUGUCUGCAUCAUUCCCCUGUAGAUCAAGAGCUUAAAUGAUCGGAUUUGUCAUGAAAGCAUAUCCUUAGACGAGGAAAAGAGAUUGGUCAAAGAAAUAAAACAACUUAACGGAACCCGGUCAAAGGUUGUUGAGAAUGCUGCUAAGAGAGCUAAAAUGCAAGAUACAGUUGGUGAGAGAGACACAAUACACGAUCAAGUCAAAGUAAGUAUAUCCAGAUAAAACUUUGUAUAUAUAGCUGCAUGUUCCACUGGAAAUUGAAAGGUCAGUAAUGGUUCCUAUUUGAUUUUAUCUAUUGUCUCAGCAAAUUGGCGUGGGCAUUGAUGAGGUUAAAAAGGAGAGACAAAAUGUUAGAGACAAGAUUAAGGUUCUUGAAGAUCAACUCCAUGCUGUUGAUGAUGAAAUUGCUGCACUUCAGGAUGAUCUUACUGCAGCUACUGCUAGAAAAGAUAAAGCAUUUGAUGCUUUAAAUGAAUUGAGAAAAACACGUGAUCUUAAUGUAAGUAAAUGUCCUCUACUGUGUGGAAUGUUAUCUGAAUUUCAUAAUUUUUUUCUUGCAGUGAAAACACAUCUGUGCUGUUGAAAAUUAUAUAGCAAUUUCAUGUGACCAUAAUUCAUUUUUCCAAAUGUGCUUCACAUUUAUAUCAGAAUAUCAGCGAACUGUAAUGUAAAAUGAAUCCUUUCUUUGACUUGGUUAGUUAUGAAAUAAUCUUAUUCUAGCAAUAAGCUGAUGUAAGUUUCACUGUUCUUGAACAUUGAUCAGGAUUUAAAUUUGCUGUUGAUCCGGUUAUUACUUUGCUGAAAAGCAUAGGAUAUCAUUUUUAUCUGCCUUAAACUUUAUUUUAUCUUUUAUUUCUAUUUCUAUUAAUUAUUUUGCUAUUAUUUCGAUUACAAGAGCAUGUGACUUUUGUUGAUGGUUUCUGCUGAACGCUUUUCUGAUUCAGAACGUGUCCUUCCAUCAAUACCGCACAAUCUCAAACAAUGUUAGAGACCUUUCAGCAAGAGGUGAAGUAGAAAUGGUGCAGCAGCUCUGCCAGAAUGAGGUUUGCCUGCAAUAUAACUAAUUCUACUUGCGUUUUCUUUUGAAGCUUGGCCUGUUGCUGACCCUCCGUGGCAAAUGGGUGUUUCACUUUUCAUAGGUUGAAAAGUUCAUGGCGCAGUGGGGCAGCAGCAAGUCAUUUAGAGAGGAUUAUGAGAAGAGGAUACUGGUUUCCCUCAACAGUCGGCAGCUGAGCAGAGAUGGACGAAUGAGGAAUCCUGAUGAGAAGCCUAUCGUUCUGGAAACACAAGUGGCACCACCUGCCGAACAUGAGCCUGCUCCCUUGAAAAAGCCUGUGAAGCAGGCAAAGGAGGCUCCUGCUCCACCUGCAGAUAUUACUCCAAAGGAUGAGAUUCACGUCAAAGCGCCAGCAAAAACUGCUAAGGCCAAACCAUCCCUUGAGGUUGGUGAUAUUCCAGAUGUCUAUGAUGAUGAGGCCCCGAAGGAGAAGACAAAACCUAAAGUAGUAGAUGAAGCAAAGUUGAAAGAAAUGAAGAGACAGGAAGAGAUCGAAAAGAACAAGCUGGCGCUGGAAAGGAAGAAGAAGCAUGCUGAG